AACGAACGCUGGCGGCAUGCCUAACACAUGCAAGUCGAACGAGACCUUCGGGUCUAGUGGCGCACGGGUGCGUAACGCGUGGGAACCUGCCUUUAGGUUCGGAAUAACUCAGAGAAAUUUGAGCUAAUACCGGAUAAUGUCUUCGGACCAAAGAUUUAUCGCCUUUAGAUGGGCCCGCGUUGGAUUAGCUAGUUGGUGGGUAAAGGCCUACCAAGGCGACGAUCCAUAGCUGGUCUGAGAGGAUGAUCAGCCACACUGGGACUGAGACACGGCCCAGACUCCUACGGGAGGCAGCAGUGGGAAUAUUGGACAAUGGGCGAAAGCCUGAUCCAGCAAUGCCGCGUGAGUGAUGAAGGCCUUAGGGGUUGUAAAGGCUCUUUUACCCGAGAUGAUAAUGACAGUAUCGGGAGAAUAAAGCUCCGGCUAACUUCGUGCCAGCAGCCGCGGUAA
rnacentral:rRNA from 1 species